CUUUGCGUGAUCCUCCCAGAAUGCCUUGGUUUCCCAGGGAGCCCACGUGAGCUGGGAGAGGAUGGGCUAGAGCGAGAGUGGAGAUAGAGAAGGGAAGAGAACUCGGGGAAAAUCGCAUCCCAUCUCUUUACACCACCACACAGAUGUGGAGCGCAAGACGCAGGGACCGGGGCUCUCCGGCUCAGCAGAACUGGAAAGUGACAGGUUCCUUGGUACCCUCCUCAGGGCGUAGUGAAUUUCAGAUUCUCUACUGUGAAGAUCGCGUAUUUUAAAAUCA